CGAGUUUGAUCAUGGCUCAGAUUGAACGCUGGCGGCAGGCCUAACACAUGCAAGUCGAGCGAGAAAGGUCUUCGGACUGAGUACAGCGGCGGACGGGUGAGUAAAGCGUAGGAAUCUACCUGGUAGUGGGGGAUAACUUGGGGAAACUCAAACUAAUACCGCAUACGCCCUACGGGGAAAGCGGGGGACCUUCGGGCCUCGCGCUAUCAGAUGAGCCUGCGUAGGAUUAGCUAGUUGGUGAGGUAAAGGCUCACCAAGGCGACGAUCCUUAGCUGGUCUGAGAGGAUGAUCAGCCACACUGGGACUGAGACACGGCCCAGACUCCUACGGGAGGCAGCAGUGGGGAAUAUUGCGCAAUGGGCGAAAGCCUGACGCAGCCAUGCCGCGUGUGUGAAGAAGGCCUUAGGGUUGUAAAGCACUUUCAAUUGGGAAGAAAAGUUGGUCGUUAAUAGCGGCCAGCCCUGACAUUACCUUUAGAAGAAGGACCGGCUAACUCCGUG
rnacentral:rRNA from 1 species